GUCAGUUAUGGUGGUGCAUGCCUGUAGUCCUAGCUACUUGGGAGGCUGAGGUGGGAGGAUCGCUUGAGCCCAGGAGUUCAAGGCUGCAGUGACCUGUGAUUGUGCCACUGCACUCCAACCUGGGUGACAGAGUGAGAUCCCAUCUCUU
ensembl:misc_RNA Metazoa_SRP Metazoan signal recognition particle RNA